CAUGCAAGUCGAGGGGAAACGACAUCGAAAGCUUGCUUUUGAUGGGCGUCGACCGGCGCACGGGUGAGUAACGCGUAUCCAACCUGCCCACCACUUGGGGAUAACCUUGCGAAAGUAAGACUAAUACCCAAUGACGUCUCUAGAAGACAUCUGAAAGGGAUUAAAGAUUUAUCGGUGAUGGAUGGGGAUGCGUCUGAUUAGCUUGUUGGCGGGGUAACGGCCCACCAAGGCUACGAUCAGUAGGGGUUCUGAGAGGAAGGUCCCCCACAUUGGAACUGAGACACGGUCCAAACUCCUACGGGAGGCAGCAGUGAGGAAUAUUGGUCAAUGGACGAGAGUCUGAACCAGCCAAGUAGCGUGCAGGAUGACGGCCCUAUGGGUUGUAAACUGCUUUUAUAAGGGAAUAAAGUGAGCCUCGUGAGGCUUUUUGCAUGUACCUUAUGAAUAAGGACCGGCUAAUUCCGUGCCAGCAGCCGCGGUAAUACGGAAGGUCCGGGCGUUAUCCGGAUUUAUUGGGUUUAAAGGGAGCGUAGGCCGGAGAUUAAGCGUGUUGUGAAAUGUAGAUGCUCAACAUCUGCACUGCAGCGCGAACUGGUUUCCUUGAGUACGCACAAAGUGGGCGGAAUUCGUGGUGUAGCGGUGAAAUGCUUAGAUAUCACGAAGAACUCCGAUUGCGAAGGCAGCUCACUGGAGCGCAACUGACGCUGAAGCUCGAAAGUGCGGGUAUCGAACAGGAUUAGAUACCCUGGUAGUCCGCAUGGUAAACGAUGGAUGCCCGCUGUUGGUCUGAAUAGGUCAGCGGCCAAGCGAAAGCAUUAAGCAUCCCACCUGGGGAGUACGCCGGCAACGGUGAAACUCAAAGGAAUUGACGGGG
rnacentral:rRNA from 1 species